rnacentral:rRNA from 1 species
CCUACGGGAGGCAGCAGUGAGGAAUAUUGGUCAAUGGCCGAGAGUCUGAACCAGCCAAGUAGCGUGAAGGAAGACUGCCCUACGGGUUGUAAACCUCUUUUAUAAAGGAGUAAAGUGAGUCACGUGUGCCUCUUUGAGUGUACUCUAUGAAUAAGGAUCGGCUAACUCCGUGCCAGCAGCCGCGGUAAUACGGAGGAUGCGAGCGUUAUCCGGAUUUAUUGGGUUUAAAGGGUGCGCAGGGGGAGGUAUAAGUCAGCGGUAAAAUUGCGGGGCUCAACCCCGUACUGCCGUUGAAACUGGAAGCCUUGAGUGCGGGAGAGGUAUGCGGAAUGCGUGGUGUAGCGGUGAAAUGCAUAGAUAUCACGCAGAACUCCGAUUGCGAAGGCAGCAUACUGGACCGCAACUGACGCUCAUGCACGAAAGCGUGGGUAUCGAACAGGAUUAGAUACCCCGGUAGUC